rnacentral:rRNA from 1 species
UACAGAGGUCUCAAGCGUUGUUCGGAUUCAUUGGGCGUAAAGGGUGCGUAGGCGGCGCGGUAAGUCGGGUGUGAAAUCUCGGAGCUUAACUCCGAAACUGCAUUCGAUACUGCCGUGCUUGAGGACUGGAGAGGAGACUGGAAUUUACGGUGUAGCGGUGAAAUGCGUAGAUAUCGUAAGGAAGACCAGUGGCGAAGGCGGGUCUCUGACAGUUCCUGACGCUGAGGCACGAAGGUCAGGGAGCAAACGGG